rnacentral:lncRNA from 9 species
AAUAAGCUCCUGUCUGGAAGAUAGCAGUGAGCUCUACUGAGGCAGAGGGAGAGUAAGAGUUGCCUGAGUUUCCUGGAGGCAAGUCCAUCCACAGGCACCUACAAGAAGGCCAAAUCUGGAGCCACCCCUCACGCUGAAGCUCCAGAACAGGAUAAUUACAAAAAGACUAGGCAUCGGUCUACAGUCUGUCAAGUACUGUCAGGGGUGGUAGCCUGCCAAGAACUCUCUCUCCAAUUGUUACAGUCCCGUGGGAACCAAGAACCAAGCCCCAGGCCACCAGAGCCACAGGCAUCAAGGAGCAGGUGGCAGCUGCACAGACGAGGACACCACCCGCAGGUAAAAGCAGCCACGUGUAAAAGCUCCCGCGAGAAAUCCCUGAGUGGGGGCGCGGCUGGAACGUGAAGAUGGCGUCGCUCCGUCUCCUUCCCCGGAGGCUCCCAGCAGGCCUCCAUGUCGGCCUCAGAUGAACUGCCUGCCCCUCAGGCCACCCUCCAGGCCAAGCACAGAGCAGAGGAGCUUCUCCCACACGGUCUGCGUGGCCUCAGAUCACAAGGGUCCUCCGGUGCUGAGCCCUGCCGGGCAGGUCAUCUUUGGCUUCAUUCAUAUUGCACAGAAUGGAAUUUGAUCGGACAACUUCAGUGUAACAUGUACACCCAAGGAUCUCUGCUUUUUUUUUUUUUUUUUUGAUACUUCAUUCAGCUUCAUAUGGUAAGUAAAUGUGCUACUCAAAAAUCCUAAGUAUUUUGUUCCUGAGUGUUUUGGAAUGAUGUCACAAAAAUACACCAUCUAGUGUUUGCCCAAGUUCAUGAGUCUCAUCUUCAGUAAGAUUCUCAAAGUUGCUUGGAAAUUUUAUUUAUUUUUUAGCUGUUUAUAGAUUCCUACCACUGUACAAAUUUUGUGCACAUAACAAAUUCCCUUCUUUUUCAUAGUCACCCUGAAAAAAACCUUUUUUCCUCUAUUGUUGAAAUUAUUUGCCAUUUCUGAUUUUGCUUUCUCCACUUGGUCACCAUGGGUUACCCCCCUACAAUCUUGAUUUUCUCUUUACUGUUUGAUUUCACCUGCUCUCCUUAAUGGCACCAAAGAUAUCUAAAUCCAUGCAUUUUUCUUAGUCUUUUUCCUUUUUGAUCUCUGUGCAGCUUGUGAAAGUGACAGCCAUUACUUACCUCUUUGGCAUUCCCUUCUCUCUUGAUUUUUAUUGUCAUGCACAGAAAAGGGUCUUUUUAAAGGCCUAAUGUAUUAAAAUGCUUGUAAGAAUAAUACAAUAAGAAUGGUGACAAAUACAAAGUAUUUGUU